UGCUGGAGGUAUCAGAAGUGCGAAUGCUGACAUAAGUAACGAUAAAGCGGGUGAAAAGCCCGCUCGCCGGAAGACCAAGGGUUCCUGUCCAACGUUAAUCGGGGCAGGGUGAGUCGACCCCUAAGGCGAGGCCGAAAGGCGUAGUCGAUGGGAAACAGGUUAAUAUUCCUGUACUUGGUGUUACUGCGAAGGGGGGACGGAGAAGGCUAUGUUAGCCGGGCGACGGUUGUCCCGGUUUAAGCAUGUAGGCUGGUUAUCCAGGCAAAUCCGGAUAAUCAAGGCUGAGGUGUGAUGACGAGGCACUACGGUGCUGAAGUAACAAAUGCCCUGCUUCCAGGAAAAGCCUCUAAGCAUCAGGUAACAUCAAAUCGUACCCCAAACCGACACAGGUGGUCAGGUAGAGAAUACCAAGGCGCUUGAGAGAACUCGGGUGAAGGAACUAGGCAAAAUGGUGCCGUAACUUCGGGAGAAGGCACGCUGGUGUGUAGGUGAAGCCCCUGCGGGUGGAGCUGAGACCAGUCGAAGAUACCAGCUGGCUGCAACUGUUUAUUAAAAACACAGCACUGUGCAAACACGAAAGU
rnacentral:rRNA from 1 species